GGACAGUCACACUUACCAAACAGUAUAACCAAUCUGGAAAGGCCAACUUGUACAAUUACAUUGUGUUGAAAGCUCAAAGAACGUAAGCUCUAAUAAGGCUUUUAUUUUGCAAGUGCUUGAGACAGUGAGUUAUGUCAUCUCCCCCAUCCAUGGGGGAAGUGACUAGGCUUGUCACAUGGGAACCAGUGAGAUAACAGAUAACAAGCUCACCUUUGAUGUUGGAAGUUCAGAAGACUGUUGGUUCUGUUCUCCAAAAACAGCUUAGGAAAGCAGUGAAAAAAUCCAAGGAAUCACUAGAAUAUGUAAAAACGAUUUCAAAUCCAAACAUCACACUAUAAAACUGUUUUAAUAAAUGCUGAAGUAAAUGGUAUAUAUAAAUACAAAGCUUUCAAGCCCACAGCUCUU